CAUCUUUGAUUAGUCUGGUGAUCGACAAUUGGUGACAUUUGAUCUCAACACAAGUGAAAGUCACGUUUUACGAUUCGCCAUUAGAAUGAAUGGGCCUAGACGUCAACAUCGACAUCACUGUCCAGGACCUGACAGGCCACUAGAAAUCAUUUACGUACGUACAUUCUUCUUGUAACGGAGGCAUUACGUGGUCUCUGCUUAAACUUAUUCAACCACAGCAGACAAAAGAAGAAUCAACUCAAGUGAUUCGAAUUCAAUUAACGUCAGAUGCCCAUGGCUGGAUCAGAUGGCUCCACUGAUGGUGUGGUCUUCUUCGAAGGCCGAGGACCACGUUCGUUGCAAACAAUAGAAAUCGACACCAGGAAUUUGAGGAUGUUGCAGUUCACCCUCCUGUAACAAGCUUACCCAUUUACAUAGAAAGCUGUUGUCUGGCUGCGAAACAUAAAUUGUUGUCCACAGAGAUUCCCGCUGCUAGCCUUCUUGUUCUCAACUAUAGUAACGAUAAUGGACUGACCUGGAACGUGUUGGAAGCCUGGCCUUUGAACACGGAAGUCGACGAAAUAAGGCUAGGCUGUAAUUUACCCGAUUUCGCCAGAACUAUUGUUAGAUGGUGGCAACUUACCUAUCCGAACGCCAAUCAUCAAGAUAGGCUUCAGUGGUACUUGGACGAUGUAUUGGUCAACUUGAACUUAGGAACCCAAUCCUUUCCGAAUAUGAGAUUCAAUCGGAUGAACCUGUCGAAGACCAACAAUUGAACGACAUGGCUGAUAUUGUUAAUAGCACCGAUGGAACAAUUAUGGGUUGGAUGGGAGGGCAGGGCUUGAUAUUUCGUGAACAGCUUGAUCCUGACGACACAUUACUGGGACAAGCUGGUUUGGAAGAUGGAUUUUCAUUGUCGUGUGCGGAAACAUGGGACAUGGAAAUUAGCGACCUUUGUUCAGUUCCAGCCAAUAUUACCAGUAGGCAUUCAUUCAGGAACAGCAGAGGUCCGUUUUGAAUAUUCGACAGAUAUGGGUCGCCGCUGGAAUAUGGUCGAAGAGGAAUGUUACAGUUUGUAUCAACUGAGCCAACAAUGUGAAUACCUCCAUCCGCCUAGUAGAUAUUUAAUAAAUAGCAAGAAUAAUUCCACUCGGAUUACCGUACAUCUACCCAGACGCUCCAUAAUGGGAUCGACACGAUUCUGCUGGAUCAGCGAAAAUGGACAAGACCGUGGACCGAUGGUGUGGGGUGUUGCGCGAGUCUAUAUCGGUGGUACAUGUCCGUGGAUGUGUUCUGGCCAUGGAACAUGCCAGAAUGGGCAAUGCGAUUGCGAUGCAGCAUACGGUAAUGUUGAUUGUGUCCCAAUCAAUCCUCUUCCUCGAGGCCUUCUGAGCCAUUUCGACAAAGAUUCCAACUUAGCCCGCCUUUCUGGUGGAGAUCUAUCUACUGGAUGUGGAGUAUUAAUGACAGUCCCUGCUGCUAUGCUCCCACAAGGACGGCCUUCGCCACUUUGAAUCAAUAGACUUGGACCUAACAUUAGCAUCUUAUGCCCAAAUGACUAUCAAAUUCGAUUGCUGGGCCGAAGCUGAAAGCUACGUCAACUCACUAGAACCGUUACAUCAGCGAUUCCUUUGGCAGUACUCUGUUAACGGCGGUAUUACUUUUAUUCUCAUUCAGGGUUUCUUAACGUCUAUUAAUGCGCCUUACGCACGUAAAAAGGAAAUCAAAAUACUCACCCAGCACGAGCCCCACCUCGUGAUUGUCAACCUAAUGCGGAUUCCAGAUCUUACAAAUUGUGCACGGCUGCGUCUGGGGCAACCUGUUCACGCUGGUGAAGGUUUGGAUACUUGGGCUAUUGACGACUUGGUUCUUCAUAGCACAAUGCCAUUGGGUAUAAUUCUAACUAACGACUCUCGACAACUCAACGAUCAAGAUUCUUUUUAGCUAACUUGGUUCGGUGGCCAACUUCACUCGUUUUGUUCCAGAGAUGAUGUGUUAGUUUUUCAAGGUGAACUAGGAGAGCAACAAGCGUUUACGGGAGAUUUCAUGAUUACAUCCGAAACUGUUCUUCAGUUUGAGG